GUGGUGUAUUCUAGCGUCGGGCUUAAAAUUGCAGUCGAAGCGGACAGAUGGGAGCUUGCUCCCUGAUGUUAGCGGCGGACGGGUGAGUAACACGUGGGUAACCUGCCUGUAAGACUGGGAUAACUCCGGGAAACCGGGGCUAAUACCGGAUGGUUGUUUGAACCGCAUGGUUCAGACAUAAAAGGUGGCUUCGGCUACCACUUACAGAUGGACCCGCGGCGCAUUAGCUAGUUGGUGAGGUAACGGCUCACCAAGGCGACGAUGCGUAGCCGACCUGAGAGGGUGAUCGGCCACACUGGGACUGAGACACGGCCCAGACUCCUACGGGAGGCAGCAGUAGGGAAUCUUCCGCAAUGGACGAAAGUCUGACGGAGCAACGCCGCGUGAGUGAUGAAGGUUUUCGGAUCGUAAAGCUCUGUUGUUAGGGAAGAACAAGUGCCGUUCAAAUAGGGCGGCACCUUGACGGUACCUAACCAGAAAGCCACGGCUAACUACGUGCCAGCAGCCGCGGUAAUACGUAGGUGGCAAGCGUUGUCCGGAAUUAUUGGGCGUAAAGGGCUCGCAGGCGGUUUCUUAAGUCUGAUGUGAAAGCCCCCGGCUCAACCGGGGAGGGUCAUUGGAAACUGGGGAACUUGAGUGCAGAAGAGGAGAGUGGAAUUCCACGUGUAGCGGUGAAAAUGCGUAGAGAUGUGGAGGAACACCAGUGGCGAAGGCGACUCUCUGGUCUGUAACUGACGCUGAGGAGCGAAAGCGUGGGGAGCGAACAGGAUUAGAUACCCCUGGUAGUCCAC
rnacentral:rRNA from 1 species